rnacentral:rRNA from 1 species
AUUGAACGCUGGCGGCAGGCUUAACACAUGCAAGUCGAGCGGGGUGAUGGUGCUUGCACUAUCACUUAGCGGCGGACGGGUGAGUAAUGCUUAGGAAUCUGCCUAUUAGUGGGGGACAACAUCUCGAAAGGGAUGCUAAUACCGCAUACGUCCUACGGGAGAAAGCAGGGGAUCACUUGUGACCUUGCGCUAAUAGAUGAGCCUAAGUCGGCUUAGCUAGUCGGUGGGGUAAAGGCCUACCAAGGCGACGAUCUGUAGCGGGUCUGAGAGGAUGAUCCGCCACACUGGGACUGAGACACGGCCCAGACUCCUACGGGAGGCAGCAGUGGGGAAUAUUGGACAAUGGGGGGAACCCUGAUCCAGCCAUGCCGCGUGUGUGAAGAAGGCCUUAUGGUAGUAAAGCACUUUAAGCGAGGAGGAGGCUCUUUUGGUUAAUACCCAAGAUGAGUGGACGUUACUCGCAGAAUAAGCACCGGCUAACUCUGUGCCAGCCGCCGCCGUAA